CUGUCUGGAAGUUUUUUUUUUUUUUUUAAUUUUGGCUGCUAAUUGUUCUUGUUUAAAUUACAGAUGUUAAACGUUUGAUCGGGUGCAGAUACCAUGAUCCUCAAGUGCAGAAGGACAUGGAGUCGUGGCCUUUCAAGGUGGUUGAAGGGCCUGCUCUGAAGCCAACUGUUGUAGUGGAGUUGAAGGGUGAAGAAAAGAAAUAUGCACCUGAAGAGUUAUCUGCCCUGGUUCUCAAGAAGUUGAAAGAGUCUGCUGAAGCUUUUAUCGGAAGAGAGGUAACAGAUGCUGUCAUCACCGUUCCUGCUUAUUUUAACAACAAUCAAAGAGAAGCAACAAAGGAAGCAGGAACCCUUUGUUACUCCUUCUCUCGUUAGGACUUGAAGUUCAGGAGAUGGUAGGUGGAAGGCUAGAAAGGGGUCACAUGGAUAUUAUCAUUCCUAGGAACACAUCAAUACCCAUAGACAAGAAGAAAAUAUAUCCACACAACAGCAUAUCAGUAGAUAUCUUGGUGUAUCAAGGUGAGAGCAACAAAGUUAAAGACAACAUAUUGCUUGGAACUUUCUACAGGCCAAAGGAAAUCAAUUUCAAUUGCUAAGACCUGAAAUUGGGGUUUUAAAAAUUAAAGGUUCCACUUACUUUUGGGGGGUUUUGCUUUUGAUAUGAAAUGCUACAUCCAUAUGUAAAACUAAACAACUUAUUUUGUGUGUUCUAAGUACUAACUGUCAUGUGUUGAUCUGAAAUGUGUCCAAUCGAUUUCUAUUUUUAUG